GGGAGUGCCUUGGUGGGCAACGGGCUUUAUACACCCUAUGGACAGUAGAUGACUGUCGGCGCGAGAGUUCAAAUCUCUCCACUCCUACCA
rnacentral:tRNA from 1 species